GACGAACGCUGGCGGCGUGCUUAACACAUGCAAGUCGAACGGUGAUGCUCCAGCUUGCUGGAGUGGAUCAUUGGCGAACGGGUGAGUAACACGUGAGCAACCUGCCCCAGACUCUGGAAUAAGCGCUGGAAACGGCGUCUAAUACUGGAUACGAAACUGGCCCGCAUGGGCAUGGUUUGGAAAGUGUUUCGGUUUGGGAUGGGCUCGCGGCCUAUCAGCUUGUUGGUGAGGUAAUGGCUCACCAAGGCGACGACGGGUAGCCGGCCUGAGAGGGCGACCGGCCACACUGGGACUGAGACACGGCCCAGACUCCUACGGGAGGCAGCAGUGGGGAAUAUUGCACAAUGGGCGAGAGCCUGAUGCAGCGACGCCGCGUGAGGGAUGACGGCCUUCGGGUUGUAAACCUCUUUCAGCAGGGAAGAAGCGAAAGUGACGGUACCUGCAGAAGAAGCACCGGCUAACUACGUG
rnacentral:rRNA from 1 species